CAUAAUAAAAAGGAGCUGCUUUCUAAUACUUCGCUUCCUUGUAAUGCCUACGUUAACAAUAACGAGGUUCGACUUUUUGUUUUUAGAGGGAUACUGGAAAAUUUGAAAGUACAGUACCAUUGGGAAGAAAAUCACGAUAUUGAAAACGAUAUUUGCAAAUUGAACAAUAUUCCAGAUUUAUUCAUAAUUUCAUACUACGCGAAGAAUAGACUUUCAUAGGUAUAUAAAGGAAAUAUUAAGUAUAGGAAAACUCUUUUUCGUUGUAGGUGACAUAUGCUUCACGGUUGAACACAUGUAUUUUUGAACACAUAUAAAUGAAGAAGUACUCUUAUGGAGAAAAAGAAUUGAUACCUUCGAUUGACAUUAGAUAAUGUAUAUAAACUUAUGAACAAUCACUAUCAGUUUGUAUUUUAGGUGCACACGCAGAUUUGUUGGAGUUCUUAUAAAAUGUACUUCCUGUACGAACGUUUUAUUCUUCCAAAUUUUACGAUACUAUGUCUCAUAUAAUAACUAUAUGGAUUAAACGUAAUAUAAAUGAUCCGAAAAUAGACUCGAACGACAUUAAUUGUCUUUCUAUUUAUACCAAUAUCGAUAAUACAAGUAAAGCUGGAGCAAUAGUAUGCAAGAAUGGACUAUUUAUUAUUUUAAACCAAAUCAUAGCAUAUUCAGAAUGCACAGUAUUAUCAUGAAAUGUAAAUGAAUCAGUUGUAAACGAACGAUUUUACUGUAAAAUCAUUGCCACCUUUUUUUCAUCUGAAAUAUAGCAGCAAUGAGUACAUUCUUUUAAUAUAUAAUAAAACGAGAUAUCUUUAUAAAGUUACAUAUGUCAUCACUGGUAACUGUUAUCUCGUAUGACACCAAAUAUACCGUUAGUAUGGAAUGAUAUUUUUAUGAAGAUAUACUUUAAUGAUAGAUUUUAUGAAUGAAACGUUAUAUAAGAAAAAUUAUCUCUUGUUAUUCUAUGAAGUGUAGUAGCUAAUGAAGAUUAAUUUUACGAAGUAUUAGAGCAAAAGAGAAUUAAAAAAUUAAAAAGAUCUAAAUAAGAUUGUUCGUGUGGCUUAAUUAUCUCAAUUCUGGUACACCACUUGUUACAUUCUAACUAAUUAGCGCUAAACAAUAACUUGCAAAUAUUAAAGAUAUUAACACCUUAAUAUUAACACCUAAAGGUUUUCAGGAAAUUUUAUAAUAUUUGAUUAUUGUAUAUCUAGUCAUUGAUUGAUAAAAUUUCUUGUAUAAGCAUAGAUCGAGGUUGACGUCAUACGCAGAUUGCAUUACAGGUAUCGUUUUAAUUUAUUUUAUGGCUAGAAUCAUUUGAAUAUUAUACGAAUAAUUAUUUCCAUUCGAACGAUUAAUAAAUCACGUACCUAUAAAAGAUAUAUUAUGAAAAAGACGUGACGAAACAAAAAAAUAUUGGAAAUUCCGUUGUCAUUAGAUCAAUUAUUUUUGCAAUGAUUUUUAUUUCCAUGUAAUUACAUAUGAAAUGGGUAAUUCAUUAACAUCUCCUCGAAUCGAAUAUAAUUCGUUACACUUCACAACGAUUCAAAUAAUGGACGGGAAAUAUAUAAUAACUUUCCUGUCCUUGCGUUAAAAUAGUACUGUACAAAUCAGAUGAUACAGGAAAUACCCAAAAAACCCAAUUACAUCCACAUUGCAUGACAGCACACUUGCAAUGGAUUUUUGUGAUUUCAAUGUCACAGACAAUGACACAACUAAUCAGAACACGUUCGAGGCUAUAGACAUUGAAAUUACCGCGUGUUUAAUACGUUUAAAGCAUAAAUCUAAAUUUCACGCGAUUAUUUCUUUGUACAUUGUGAAACUCUUAAAUUAUCUUAAUCGAAUAAAUAAUCCUAAUGUAAUAAAACAUCUUGAAAUAGACCUAGAUAUCUGAAACAGAAACUCGAAGGAUAAGAAAUCCUAAAAGGUACUAAUCCUAAAAUAACAAACUCCUAAAUAAUAAACAAGUGAUAAAACCUGUUAUAAAUAAUAAACCUUACCUGGAAUAAUCAAAUCCUAACUAAUCGAAAAUAAAAUAAGGCAAGCAAUUCUUAAUCUUUCAAGUAAUUUUUCCGAAAACACAGAAAGAUAGAGAAAUUAAAAAGACGCAGCACAAAUUGCAGCACAAUGAAAGUUUCAGAGCGAUGAAUACGAUCGUAUUAAACUAAAUAAUUUUCAAAAGUGAAAUUACACUGAAACGUAUAUCGAUGAUAUUUGUCAUUUCUACGAUCUGUUUCGCUUGAUCGUGCUUCUUUUCUGAUGUAAAUUCAAUUUAUAAUACGAACUAAGUUUCCUUUAUUAUUAUUAGUCCUGCGUCUUUUUAAUUCGUCACUUCUUUUAUUUCAGAACAAUGACGGGCUCCAAGAUGCUGUUCGGAUGUUUGGCGUUAAUUGCUUUUCUGCAUCCAUUAGUUCACGUUUGUACUUCGAGUAGUACAGCUCAAGGUUUGUACUUCGAGUUGUCUUUUUCCAUGCACUUCAAAUUCCAAUACGAUCUGGUCACGUGGCCUUCGUACAAUUUCGAAAUUUUACCUGUUUGGUAAUCGUCAAUGAAAAAAGAAGUUAUGCGUGACCUCAACACAUUGAAACAAUUUUUAUGAUUUUUUAUUUGCCGGUUGGUCAGCAAGUUAAUGGAAAAAUUUCACUUAACUAUUCGCGUUAAUUUCUUCGGUUUAACUUUUGGGAAAUGCUUCGUUAGCUUCGGGAAUAUUCCAACGAUUCGUUUUACGUACAAAAUAAGCAUGAUAAAUAUUACAUAACGGUAAUGUAAUAUCGGAAUAUAUUAAAGGUGUAAUUUUGUCCGAUUAAUUAUAAUUUAUUAAUAAUGGAUUGAAAAUACAGAUAUUAGUUAGACAGAGAAACGAUGUUUGAUUAACAGGAAAACUAAAUGCAACGCUCGUAUUUACAACAAAUAACUUGACAACUAUUUGGUAACUCUCUCUCUCUCUCUCUCUCUCUCUCUCUCUCUCACUAGCAACUCUAACACUCGACAACACUCGCAACUCAAUUCUAACGACUCUAUGCUUCGACGUCUCGAUCAACUCUGAACCUCGCCAAUGCAUUCCUGCUCGGUCCUGCACGCACGCACGCACACACGCGCGCGCGCGCGCACACACACACACACUUUUCGGCUCACAUACUCUGGCCUCUUGAUUGCCACUCCUUGAAAUAUGAAACCGUACUUCUGUUUUGACGCUGCUUAUCUUUUCUCGCGUCACUGUUACUAGGCGCUCUUGGAUGUAAACAAACCACAAAAAGACGGCGUACACGGUGUUUUCUAAUUUCAGCCGAUCUCCAAUCAAAGCUAUUCUACGAUAUUACAUUAUCGUAUAAUAAUAAGCUUUUAAUCGUUUAAUAAUAACUCGUCAAGUAGAAAUUCCACACGAAGCAUUGUGAAGAAUAAUACUUGAAGAAGAUCUAUGUUCUUACGAGAUUGGCUGUGUACAAGAACUUUGUUGGAUAGAUUGUAUCGUUUGACGAAAAUUUUAUUGUUGAAAGUUAAGAAAGUUGGAAAGAAAACCCACGCUGUCUCGAAGAUAUCUUGUUUUUCAGAUGCUGUAAAUUGACAAAUAACUAGAUAUUAGUAUUGACAUUAUUUGAUGUCAUAUCUGACCUUAAAGUAUAAAUAAAAUCAAUCUAGGAAUUAAUGAAAUUUCAAACAUUUUUUCUAAGAAAACAGAAGUUUUGUUCCUCCUAAUGAGUAUCACAUGAUGCAAUAGAAAAAUAAUUUGACAUUGAAAAUCGUGUCAAGAUCAAUUUCGAAGCUAUAAAAUCGUCUUAAAAAAACGCCGUGAUAAAAAAUUUUUUGACACCUUGUACAAAGGUGUAUAUCAACGUAAGUGUACCUGUAUGUCUAUAUUCGAGAUUAUUUAUCUAUUCAAGAUAGCAAAGUAAAAAUACUAUAUAGAGGAUUUAAUUAAUGUGUAUAUCAACACAUAUUCUCGAUAAUACGAUAAUACAAUAAUAUUCUCGAUAUACGUACGCGCGUGAUAGAAGGUCGUUCGGGGAAAAAUGUUCAUGACACCGAUAUAAAAAUACCAUAUGGAGGA